rnacentral:tRNA from 1 species
NCUGAUAGCAAGUAUUACUGUACU